GCCUGGGUGGCUCAGUCGGUUAAGUGUCUAACUUCAGCUCAGGUCAUGAUCUCACAGUCCAUGGGUUCGAGCCCCGUGUCAGGCU
rnacentral:tRNA from 1 species